CCUACGGGAGGCAGCAGUGGGGAAUAUUGCACAAUGGGGGAAACCCUGAUGCAGCGACGCCGCGUGAGUGAAGAAGGAUUUCGGUAUGUAAAGCUCUAUCAGCAGGGAAGAAAAUGACGGUACCUGAUUAAGAAGCCCCGGCUAACUAAGUGCCAGCAGCCGCGGUAAUACGUAGGGGGCAAGCGUUAUCCGGAUUUACUGGGUGUAAAGGGAGCGUAGACGGCAGCGCAAGUCUGAAGUGAAAUGCCGGGGCUUAACCCCGGAACUGCUUUGGAAACUGUGCAGCUAGAGUGCAGGAGAGGUAAGUGGAAUUCCUAGUGUAGCGGUGAAAUGCGUAGAUAUUAGGAGGAACACCAGUGGCGAAGGCGGAUUACUGGACUGUAACUGACGCUGAGGAGCGAAAGCGUGGGUAGCAAACAGGAUUAGAUACCCCAGUAGUC
rnacentral:rRNA from 1 species